rnacentral:rRNA from 1 species
AACGUAGGACGCAAGCGUUAUCCGGAGUUACUGGGCGUAAAGGGCAGGUAGGCGGGCGUUUAAGUGGGGUGUGAAAUCUCCCGGCUCAACCGGGAGGGUGCAUUCGAGACUGGACGCCUGGAGGGCAGCAGAGGAGCGUGGAAUUCCGGGUGGAGUGGUGAAAUGCGUAGAGAUCCGGAGGAACACCAGAGGCGAAAGCGGGGCUCUGGGCUGCACCUGACGCUGAACUGCGAAAGCCAGGGGAGCGAACGGG